AUGGCAACUCUUUUUAUAAGGAAAAUGGUGAACCCUAUGCUAUAUCUCAGUCGUCACACAGUGAAGCCUCGAGCCCUCUCCACAUUUCUAUUUGGAUCCCUUCGAGGUGCAGCCCCCGUGGCUGUGGAACCCGGGGCAGAAGUGCGCUCACUUCUCUCACCCGGCCUCCUGCCCCACCUGCUGCCCGCGCUGGGGUUCAAAAACAAGACUGUCCUUAAGAAGCGCUGCAAGGACUGUUACCUGGUGAAGAGGCGGGGUCAGUGGUACGUCUACUGUAAAACCCAUCCGAGGCACAAGCAGAGACAGAUGUAG
rnacentral:lncRNA from 1 species